AGCGAACGCUGGCGGUAGGCCUAACACAUGCAAGUCGAACGAACUCUUCGGAGUUAGUGGCGGACGGGGGUGUCAAACGUGGGAACGUGCCUUUUGGCUCGGAAUUCUACAGGGACACUUGUGCUAAUACAGAAUGUGUUCCUCGGGGGAAAGAUUUAUCGCCCUUAGUGCAGCACGCGUCGGUCUAGCCUGUGGCUGUGGUAACGGCCCAUCACGGCUAAGAUCAGUAGCUGGUCUGAGAGAAUGACCAGCCACACUGAGACUCGGACGCGGCCCGGACUCUUACGCGAUGCGGCAGUGGGGAAUCUUGCGCAAUCGGCUAAGGCCUGACGCAGCCAUGCCGCUUGAAGGAUGAAGGUCGGAGGAUUGUAAAGUUCUUUCACCGGGGACGAUAAUGACGGUACCCGGAGAAGAAGCCCCGGCUAACUUCGUG
rnacentral:rRNA from 1 species